rnacentral:rRNA from 1 species
ACAGAGGCCUCGAGCGUUAGGCGGAAUCACUGGGCUUAAAGCGUGUGUAGGUGGAUGCCUAAGUACCUUGUGAAAUCCCACGGCUUAACCGUGGAACUGCUGGGUGUACUGGGCGUCUUGAGCCACUCAGGGGCUACCGGAACAAGCGGUGGAGCGGUGAAAUGCGUAGAUAUCGUUUGGAACGCCAAUGGUGAAAACAGACUGCUGGGAGUGUGCUGACGCUGAGGCGCGAAAGCGUGGGGAGCGAACGGGA